GCCUAAUACAUGCAAGUCGAGCGGAAAUUUUAUUGGUGCUUGCACCUUUAAAAUUUUAGCGGCGGACGGGUGAGUAACACGUGGGUAACCUACCUUAUAGAUUGGGAUAACUCCGGGAAACCGGGGCUAAUACCGAAUAAUACUUUUUAACACAUGUUUGAAAGUUGAAAGACGGUUUCGGCUGUCACUAUAAGAUGGACCCGCGGCGCAUUAGCUAGUUGGUGAGGUAACGGCUCACCAAGGCAACGAUGCGUAGCCGACCUGAGAGGGUGAUCGGCCACACUGGGACUGAGACACGGCCCAGACUCCUACGGGAGGCAGCAGUAGGGAAUCUUCCACAAUGGACGAAAGUCUGAUGGAGCAACGCCGCGUGAGUGAAGAAGGAUUUCGGUUCGUAAAACUCUGUUGCAAGGGAAGAACAAGUAGCGUAGUAACUGGCGCUACCUUGACGGUACCUUGUUAGAAAGCCACGGCUAACUACGUGCCAGCAGCCGCGGUAAUACGUAGGUGGCAAGCGUUGUCCGGAAUUAUUGGGCGUAAAGCGCGCGCAGGUGGUUCCUUAAGUCUGAUGUGAAAGCCCCCGGCUCAACCGGGGAGGGUCAUUGGAAACUGGGGAACUUGAGUGCAGAAGAGGAUAGUGGAAUUCCAAGUGUAGCGGUGAAAUGCGUAGAGAUUUGGAGGAACACCAGUGGCGAAGGCGACUGUCUGGUCUGUAACUGACACUGAGGCGCGAAAGCGUGGGGAGCAAACAGGAUUAGAUA
rnacentral:rRNA from 2 species